rnacentral:rRNA from 1 species
UACGUAGGGGCCUAGCGUUGUCCGGAUUUAUUGGGCGUAAAGAGCUCGUAGGCGGCACGGUUAGUCAGGUGUGAAAUCUCCACGCUCAACGUGGAGGGGUCACCUGAUACUGCCGAGCUUGAGUCCGGUAGGGGAGUGUGGAAUUCCCGGUGUAGCGGUGAAAUGCGCAGAUAUCGGGAGGAACACCCGUAGCGAAGGCGGCACUCUGGGCCGGUACUGACGCUGAGGAGCGAAAGCGUGGGGAGCAAACAGGAUUAGAUACCCUGGUAGUCCACGCCGUAAACGUUGGGCACUAGGUGUGGGACUCUAUCGACGGGUUCCGUGCCGUAGCUAACGCAUUAAGUGCCCCGCCUGGGGAGUACGGCCGCAAGGCUAAA